UACGGGGGGGGCAAGCGUUAAUCGGAAUUACUGGGCGUAAAGCGUGCGUAGACGGUUACAUAAGUCAGAUGUGAAAGCCCCGGGCUCAACCUGGGAAUUGCAUUUGAGACUGCGUAGCUAGGGUGCGGAAGAGGUAAACGGAAUUUCCGGUGUAGCGGUGAAAUGCGUAGAUAUCGGAAGGAACACCAGUGGCGAAAGCGGCUUCCUGGUCCAGCACCGACGUUCAGGCACGAAAGCGUGGGGAGCAAACAGG
rnacentral:rRNA from 1 species